CAGUAGCCGCGGUAAUACAGAGGGUGCGAGCGUUAAUCGGAUUUACUGGGCGUAAAGCGUGCGUAGGCGGCUUCUUAAGUCGGAUGUGAAAUCCCUGAGCUUAACUUAGGAAUUGCAUUCGAUACUGGGAAGCUAGAGUAUGGGAGAGGAUGGUAGAAUUCCAGGUGUAGCGGUGAAAUGCGUAGAGAUCUGGAGGAAUACCGAUGGCGAAGGCAGCCAUCUGGCCUAAUACUGACGCUGAGGUACGAAAGCAUGGGGAGCAAACAGGAUUAGAUACCCGAGUAGUCCCUGUCUCUUAUAC
rnacentral:rRNA from 1 species